CAGCAGCCGCGGGAAAACGUAGGGUGCAAGCGUUAAUCGGAAUUACUGGGCGUAAAGCGUGCGCAGGCGGUUAUAUAAGACAGAUGUGAAAUCCCCGGGCUCAACCUGGGAACUGCAUUUGUGACUGUAUAGCUAGAGUACGGCAGAGGGGGAUGGAAUUCCGCGUGUAGCAGUGAAAUGCGUAGAUAUGCGGAGGAACACCGAUGGCGAAGGCAAUCCCCUGGGUCUGUACUGACGCUCAUGCACGAAAGCGUGGGGAGCAAACAGGAUUAGAUACCCCAGUAGUCCCUGUCUCUUAUAC
rnacentral:rRNA from 1 species